AUGCAACCCCCCCAACGUAUACACAUGUGCACACACACUCCCACAACAUACAUACAUGCACCCCACACAACAUAUACACAUGCACACACACCCCUACAACAUACACAUGCAUGCACACAUACACACCCUCACAACACACACACAGGCCCACACACCCCUGCAACAUACACGUAUGUGCACACACACCUCCAAAACAUAUGCAAACAUGCAACCCCCACAACAUACACAUGUGCACCCCAACAUACACACAUGUGCACACACACCCCCACAACAUACACACACGCACACACACCUCCACAACAUACACACACACACACACACCCUCACAACAUACACAUAUGUGCACACACACUCCCACAACAUAUACAUACAUGCACCCCACACAACAUAUACACAUGCACACACACCCCUACAACAUACACAUGCAUGCACACAUACACACCCUCACAACACACACACAGGCCCACACACCCCUGCAACAUACACGUAUGUGCACACACACCUCCAAAACAUAUGCAAACAUGCAACCCCCACAACAUACACAUGUGCACCCCAACAUACACACAUGUGCACACACCCCCACAACAUACACACACACACACACACCCCCACAACAUACACACACACACACACACCCACAACAUACACACACACACACACCCCCACAACAUACACACACACACACACACCCCCACAACAUACACACACACACACACACCCCCACAACAUACACACACACACACCCCCACAACACACACACACACACACCCACACACCCACAACAUACACACACACACACACACACCCACAACAUACACACACACACACACACCCACAACAUACACACACACACACACACCCCCACAACAUACACACACACACACACACCCCCACAACAUACACACACACACACACCCCCCCACAACAUACACACACACACACACACCCCCACAACAUACACACACACACACACACACACCCACAACAUACACACACACACACACACACACACCCACAACAUACACACACACACACACACACACCCACAACACACACACACACACACACACACCCACAACAUACACACACACACACACACACCCACAACAUACACACACACACACACACACCCACAACAUACACACACACACACACACACCCACAACAUACACACACACACACACACACCCACAACAUACACAUAUGUGCACACACACCUCCAAAACAUAUGCAAACAUGCAACCCCCACAACAUACACAUGUGCACCCCAACAUACACACAUGUGCACACACACCCCCACAACAUACACACACGCACACACACCCUCACAACAUACACAUAUGUGCACACACACUCCCACAACAUAUACAUACAUGCACCCCACACAACAUAUACACAAGCACACACACCCCUACAACAUACACACGCAUGCACACACACACACCCUCACAACACACACACAGGCCCACACACCCCUGCAACAUACACGUAUGUGCACACACACCUCCAAAACAUAUGCAAACAUGCACACCCCCACAAGAUACACAAGUGCACCCUCAACAUAUACACACCUGCACACACACUCCCACAACAUAUACAUACAUGUACACCCCCACAACAUAUGGACAUACACACACACCCCACAACAUAUACACACCUGCACACACACCCCCACAGCAUACACAUGCACACACACCCUCACAGCAUAUACACAUGUGCACACACACCCCCAGAACAUAUGCACACAUGCACACACCCCCAAACAUAUAUACAUGUUCACACACACACACCCACAGCAUGCACAAAUGCACACACACCCUCACAUUUACACACAUGCACACACCCCCUACAUUACACAUGUGCACCCCCCAAGAUACACACACAUGCACACCCCCACAACAUAUACACACAUGCACACACACACCCACAACAUAUACACACGCACACACACCUCUACGCUGCUCUCCCAAGGGCAUCACUGCUGCCUGGCAGAGUCCCCUGAGCUCCCCCCAGGCAGGCCCUCACAGCUCUGUGCCUCUCACACCCAGGGCUUCACCCACAGCAUGA
rnacentral:lncRNA from 1 species